AACGAACGCUGGCGGCGUGCCUAACACAUGCAAGUCGUGCGAGAAAGUUCCUUCGGGAGCGAGUAAAGCGGCGCACGGGUGAGUAACACGUAGGUAACCUGCCCCCCAGUCUGGAACAACUAGAGGAAACUCUAGCUAAUGCCGGAUGAGACCACGAUCCCUUCGGGGGUUGCGGCCAAAGAUGGCCUCUACUUGUAAGCUAUCGCUGAGGGAUGGGGCCUGCGGGCCAUUAGCUUUGUUGGUGAGGUAACGGCUCACCAAGGCUGUGAUGGCUAGGCUGGUCUGAGAGGAUGACCAGCCAACACUGGGGACUGAGACACGGGCCCAGACUCCUACGGGAGGCAGCAGUGGGGAAUAUUGCGCAAUGGGC
rnacentral:rRNA from 1 species